GGGGACGUAACAAAGCGACCCAGGAAUGCUUGGGCGUGCCUCCACCCACGCCGGCGUCGGCGGGCGUAUUUCGCCUCACAGUAGGUCGCCGCGACCCGUUGCUUUUGGGGACGUCGAAGGCCCGGACGGAUUGGUACCCUACCGGCUGGGGAUGCGGCUUCGGCUUCUCCUCUUGUCCGGUGGGCGAAACCGCCGGUGUCCUGGCUGCCCUGCGACGGUCGUAGAGACGAGCCCUCCCCAUUCGUGGGGGGCGGCUCUCGCGGCGUGCAAAAGGUCGGUGAUCCACCCGACCCGUCUUGAAACACGGACCAAGGAGUCUAACAUGUGUGCGAGUCAGUGGGCGCACUAAACCCAGAGGCGUAAUGAAAGUGACACGGGUUCGGCUGUCGCCUCGUGUGGCAGCCGGACUCAGGGCCGAUCCCUCACCGGUUGCCCUCGCCUCUCUCCCGCGUCUCGGUAAGCCGGGUGAGCUAUUUUCCCCGGCCAAUGCUGCGGGGCUCGGGGGGAGGCGGGGUUGCGAUGGUGUCCGUCAAAAAGAGCCUGCUGUUGCAGGGGGGCGCAGGCCCGGGACUUGCCAGGACGCCGCGAGACUGUCACUUUGCUGUGAGGCUCCAGGGCCGAUCAGCGGGUCAUGCGUGCAGUCGGCAAGUACCAUGAGCAGACAUGUUGGGACCCGAAAGAUGGUGAACUAUGCCUGGCCAGGAUGAAGCCAGAGGAAACUCUGGUGGAGGUCCGUAGCGAUUCUGACGUGCAAAUCGAUCGUCGGAGCUGGGUAUAGGGGCGA
rnacentral:rRNA from 4 species